CUAAGAUUUUCAGCAAUAACACUCUCAGAGGAUGUGUCAAGUAAUUGUCUGCGUUCUGGAAAUACUCGAUCGGGAUGUGUGAUGUAUCUGAUUUUCCAGGAGGUGACCUGUGGAGAAUGAAAUAUGUUAGAACGUGUUUGGAAGCAUCAACAAUCUAUACAUUAUGUGGGUUUUAAACCCAACCCGGCGAAGCCGUGUUUAAACGUACAUAUACAACGACAAGUCGCUGAAACAUAACAUUGGACAGAAGACAGUAAAGAAUCUCCAGAAGUCAGAUAGGUCCAAGUAACCUGUGAGGCCAUCAUAGUGACCGGCUCAAUCACCUAUAAAGUUAAGAUAAUCUUUUCUCCCUCUACUCUCCUGCUGAUUUAUGUACCGAAGAACCCGAGGUCAAGGACGUUUGCAGACAAGAUCAAUAUUAGCUCUUUCCCGCCAAGGUACUUUCUUUUGCUGACGAUUUCAGCUCCAGACGAAUAAAGAGUCUUUUUCGACCGUUUUGUCAAUUGCUGCCGCAGUACAGUUUUCUAUUGAUCGUGCACCUUGUACCAGGCGAGGACAUUUCUAGUGAACAUAGAUUAUGUAAAAUCUACGUUGUGUUUACUUUUAUACGUAUUGAGGCGACCCCGUCUUGCACAUCCCGUGAAAUGUUUUUUUUUAUUUCAUUUGAUUAACUGGACUUGCUUUGUAUGGAUCAGACGUUUUUGAAUAGCUGAUCGUUAUUAAUCAUUCGA